AGAGUUUGAUCCUGGCUCAGGAUGAACGCUGGCGGCGUGCCUAACACAUGCAAGUCGAACGGAAAUUACAGAAGGAAGUUUUCGGAUGGAAUUUUGUAAUUUUAGUGGCGGACGGGUGAGUAACACGUGGGUAACCUGCCCUGUACCGGGGGAUAACAGUUGGAAACGGCUGUUAAUACCGCAUAAGCGCACAGUUCCGCAUGGAGCAGUGUGAAAAACUCCGGUGGUACAGGAUGGACCCGCGUCUGAUUAGCUUGUUGGCGGGGUAACGGCCCACCAAGGCGACGAUCAGUAGCCGGCCUGAGAGGGUGAACGGCCACAUUGGGACUGAGACACGGCCCAGACUCCUACGGGAGGCAGCAGUGGGGAAUAUUGCACAAUGGAGGAAACUCUGAUGCAGCGACGCCGCGUGAGCGAUGAAGUAUUUCGGUAUGUAAAGCUCUAUCAGCAGGGAAAGAUAAUGACGGUACCUGACUAAGAAGCCCCGGCUAACUACGUGCCAGCAGCCGCGGUAAUACGUAGGGGGCAAGCGUUAUCCGGAUUUACUGGGUGUAAAGGGGGCGCAGACGGCGAUGCAAGUCUGAAGUGAAAUCCCACGGCUCAACUGUGGAAUUGCUUUGGAAACUGUAUUGCUUGAGUGCUGGAGAGGUAAGCGGAAUUCCUGGUGUAGCGGUGAAAUGCGUAGAUAUCAGGAAGAACAUCAGUGGCGAAGGCGG
rnacentral:rRNA from 1 species